rnacentral:rRNA from 1 species
AUGCCAUCCCCAUCUUUCAACCAUGCCCGUCGUUCGCCACAAUCGUGCCAGGAUGGGACUCCACCUGCUUUCACGUGCACGGAUGAAGGAUACCCUGCUCUAGCUUCGAUCGGCUCUGGGGAUCAGGAGCAGCAGCAGCCGGACGACGCCACAGCGAGCAGCGCAACAACGGCGGACCCGGCAGAGUGGAGUCGUGUCCGGCGAGAAGCGGGCUCAGCAGGGCGCCACGCCGUGCGGCCAUGUCGGAAGAUUCCGUGGAUUGCCAAAGGGAAGGAACCAGGAGGAGAGGACACUUCAGAUGGUGAGAGCUGA